AUGGUUGUAGUGUAUAGGUUAAAAUGUCACAGGGAUUGUCAUCGAAAUACCAAAUUAAGAAACCAGUUAAGUUCGAAAUUAAAGUCACAAAUGCGAAAUUUCUUAAAACAAUGUUUAAUAUCUGUGGAAAUUUUGCCUCAUUUUCUCAAUAUAUUUUCUUUGUUCUGGUGGAGAGACCCUUCCUUCCAUGGUAGUUCUUAA